AUUGAACGCUGGCGGCAUGCCUUACACAUGCAAGUCGAACGGUAACAGGUCUUCGGAUGCUGACGAGUGGCGAACGGGUGAGUAAUACAUCGGAACGUGCCUAGUAGUGGGGGAUAACUACUCGAAAGAGUGGCUAAUACCGCAUGAGAUCUACGGAUGAAAGCAGGGGAUCGCAAGACCUUGUGCUACUAGAGCGGCCGAUGGCAGAUUCGGUAGUUGGUGGGAUAAAAGCUUACCAAGCCGACGAUCUGUAGCUGGUCUGAGAGGACGAUCAGCCAGACUGGGACUGAGAAACGGCCCAGACUCCUACGGGAGGCAGCAGUGGGGAAUUUUGGACAAGGGGCGAAAGCCUGAUCCAGCAAUGCCGCGUGCAGGAUGAAGGCCUUCGGGUUGUAAACUGCUUUUGUACGGAACGAAAAGCCCCGGGUUAAUACCCUGGGGUCAUGACGGUACCGUAAGAAUAAGCACCGGCUAACUACGUGCCAGCCGCCGCCGUAA
rnacentral:rRNA from 1 species